AGCCUAUUGAAUCCGUGACGAGAUGUCGUCAGACACCAGACCAUCAGGACUAAUGAAACUUCCAAGAUAAAAGAAGCG
rfam:Schistosoma haematobium scaffold247_3, whole genome shotgun sequence.